UGAGGCAGUGGCUGAGUGGUUAAAGGCGGUAGACUGUAAAUCUAUUGAAUAAUUUCUACGUUGGUUCGAAUCCAACCUUCCUCAA
rnacentral:tRNA from 1 species